UACGUAGGGGGCGAGCGUUGUUCGGAAUCACUGGGUGUAAAGGGUGCGUAGGCGGUUUGAUAAGUCUGAUGUGAAAUCCCUUGGCUCAACUGAGGAAUUGCAUUGGAAACUAUCAAGCUGGAGUAUCGGAGAAGAGAGCGGAAUUUCUGGUGUAGCGGUGAAAUGCGUAGAUACCAGGAGGAACACCGGUGGCGAAAGCGGCUCUCUGGCCGAAUACUGACGCUAAGGCACGAAAGCGUGGGGAGCAAACGGG
rnacentral:rRNA from 1 species